AAAUACACUCAAUUCAAGCAG
rnacentral:miRNA from 1 species